GGCUAUGGCCACGCCACCCUGAACAUGCCCGAUCUCGUCUGAUCUUGGAAGCCAAGAAGCGAGGUUGGGCCUGGUUGGAUGGGAGACCACCUUGGAAUACCAGGUGCUAUAAGUG
rnacentral:rRNA from 1 species